rnacentral:rRNA from 1 species
CUCGUAGGCGGCCAACUAAGUCAGACGUGAAAUCCCUAGGCUCAACCUAGGAACUGCGUCUGAUACUGGAUGGCUUGAGUGCGGGAGAGGGAUGUGGAAUUCCAGGUGUAGCGGUGAAAUGCGUAGAUAUCUGGAGGAACACCGGUGGCGAAGGCGGCAUCCUGGACCGACACUGACGCUGAGGCGCGAAAGCCAGGGGAGCAAACG